rnacentral:rRNA from 1 species
UACGUAGGGUGCGAGCGUUAAUCGGAAUUACUGGGCGUAAAGCGUGCGCAGGCGGCGCGUUAAGACAGGUGUGAAAGCCCCGAGCUUAACUUGGGAAUUGCGCUUGUGACUGGCGUGCUGGAGUGUGGCAGAGGGAGGUGGAAUUCCACGUGUAGCAGUGAAAUGCGUAGAGAUGUGGAGGAACACCGAUGGCGAAGGCAGCCUGCUGGGCCAGCACUGACGCUCAUGCACGAAAGCGUGGGGAGCAAACAGG